ACAGCCGACUUACCAACAAUGGCUUCCCAACUGUUCAAUUAAUUCUCUCUCUCUCAUUCAUGAAUUCACAAAUUCAUUAUCCGCCGUCUUCUUUAACAACCCUUAUCGGCGUUCUCCAACCUUUUUCUUCAUCUUUUUCAUGGACACUUCUUCACCACUCUUCAAAACCCAAUCAAUUUCUUCUCCUCCUCUUCGCGUUUCAUUCAAGGCCCGCUUGAUCUUGUUGCAGUAUCCAUUGCCGCGCUCUAUCCGUCGCCAAGAUAUGUAAGAAAUUAACGUUUUGCUGCUUCUCUCUAUCUCUUCUGACUUGGAUUUGAGAUGUUUCUGCAAAUUUCUGAAUGUCUUAAUCUAAUUGAAUCAUGAAUCCCCUUCAAUGUUUUCGGAGUCUGCAAUCUUUUGUCCUGGUGAAUUUCUUGCCCUCUAAGUGUUUGUGAAAAUGUCUGUGUGGUGAAACUGUGUGUUUCUUACGCUUUGUUCUGUGUACUCUUCUCUGAGUUUCCAAGAGAUUCAAUUCUUUGUUUGAUCAUCUACAGAGUUAUGGAUUUUGUUUGAAAUUUUUAAUUGUAUAGAUAGCCAUCUUGUAUAAGAUGUCGACAACCGGAGCCUAUAAUAUUCCGAUGUGCACACUGAGAAACAGCAAGCUCUCUUCUGCUAAACUUAAAAAUGUCUACAAUGUCUCCGCUUUGAAACACUUUCAGCUGAAUUCCACCACUUUAUCUUCUACAAGAACUGGGAAGAUUGCAACUAGUGCUAUGUCUGGAUCUAAUGAACACCAACCAGUCUCUGGGUUGCCGAUUGAUUUAAAAGGUAAGCGGGCAUUCAUUGCUGGUGUAGCGCUGAUGACAAUGGUUAUGGUUGGGCAAUAGCAAAAUCUCUUGCUGCUGCCGGAGCUGAAAUUAUUGUUGGUACGUGGGUGCGUGUAAGUAUAAUCCCAUAGAAAUUUCAUCUUUAUGUUUGAAUUAUUUUAUUGAACCCUAUAAAAUUUGGUCACUAAGAGCUUAGAGUCAUCUUUACUAGGCUUUAAACAUCUUUGAAACCAACUUGCAACGUGGGAAUCGAUAAAUCUCGAUCAUUGCAAGAUGGAUUCGUUAUUGGAGAUCGCAAAAAUAUAUCCCUUGGAUGCAGAUUUUGACAAUCCUUAGGAUGUUCCUAAAAAU